rnacentral:rRNA from 1 species
GUAGUCCGCACGGUAAACGAUGGAUGCCCGCUGUUGGCGAUACAUUGUCAGCGGCCAAGAGAAAUCGUUAAGCAUCCCACCUGGGGAGUACGCCGGCAACGGUGAAACUCAAAGGAAUUGACGGGGGCCCGCACAAGCGGAGGAACAUGUGGUUUAAUUCGAUGAUACGCGAGGAACCUUACCCGGGCUUGAACUGCAGCCGAACGAUUCAGAGAUGAUGAGGUCCUUCGGGACGGCUGUGGAGGUGCUGCAUGGUUGUCGUCAGCUCGUGCCGUGAGGUGUCGGCUUAAGUGCCAUAACGAGCGCAACCCCUUUCGCUAGUUGCCAUCAGGUGAUGCUGGGCACUCUGGCGAUACUGCCACCGUAAGGUGUGAGGAAGGUGGGGAUGACGUCAAAUCAGCACGGCCCUUACGUCCGGGGCUACACACGUGUUACAAUGGGGAGUACAGAGAGUCAGGCGCCGGCAACGUCGCCUUAAUCAGGAAAGCUCUCCUCAGUUCGGAUUGGGGUCUGCAACCCGACCCCAUGAAGCUGGAUUCGCUAGUAAUCGCGCAUCAGCCAUGGCGCGGUGAAUACGUUCCCGGGCCUUGUACACACCGCCCGUCAAGCCAUGAAAGCCGGGGGCGCCUGAAGUCCGUGACCGCGAGGGUCGGCCUAGGGUGAAACCGGUGAUUGGGGCUA